GGAGCUUGCUCCAUCGGAAAAAGAGGAGUGGCGAACGGGUGAGUAACACGUGGGUAACCUGCCCAUCAGAAGGGGAUAACACUUGGAAACAGGUGCUAAUACCGUAUAACAAUCGAAACCGCAUGGUUUCGAUUUGAAAGGCGCUUUCGGGUGUCGCUGAUGGAUGGACCCGCGGUGCAUUAGCUAGUUGGUGAGGUAACGGCUCACCAAGGCGACGAUGCAUAGCCGACCUGAGAGGGUGAUCGGCCACAUUGGGACUGAGACACGGCCCAAACUCCUACGGGAGGCAGCAGUAGGGAAUCUUCGGCAAUGGACGAAAGUCUGACCGAGCAACGCCGCGUGAGUGAAGAAGGUUUUCGGAUCGUAAAACUCUGUUGUUAGAGAAGAACAAGGAUGAGAGUAACUGUUCAUCCCUUGACGGUAUCUAACCAGAAAGCCACGGCUAACUACGUGCCAGCAGCCGCGGUAAUACGUAGUGGCAAGCGUUGUCCGGAUUUAUUGGGCGUAAAGCGAGCGCAGGCGGUUUCUUAAGUCUGAUGUGAAAGCCCCCGGCUCAACCGGGGAGGGUCAUUGGAAACUGGGAGACUUGAGUGCAGAAGAGGAGAGUGGAAUUCCAUGUGUAGCGGUGAAAUGCGUAGAUAUAUGGAGGAACACCAGUGGCGAAGGCGGCUCUCUGGUCUGUAACUGACGCUGAGGCUCGAAAGCGUGGGGAGCAAACAGGAUUAGAUACCCUGGUAGUCCACGCCGUAAACGAUGAGUGCUAAGUGUUGGAGGGUUUCCGCCCUUCAGUGCUGCAGCUAACGCAUUAAGCACUCCGCCUGGGGAGUACGACCGCAAGGUUGAAACUCAAAGGAAUUGACGGGGGCCCGCACAAGCGGUGGAGCAUGUGGUUUAAUUCGAAGCAACGCGAAGAACCUUACCAGGUCUUGACAUCCUUUGACCACUCUAGAGAUAGAGCUUCCCCUUCGGGGGCAAAGUGACAGGUGGUGCAUGGUUGUCGUCAGCUCGUGUCGUGAGAUGUUGGGUUAAGUCCCGCAACGAGCGCAACCCUUAUUGUUAGUUGCCAUCAUUUAGUUGGGCACUCUAGCAAGACUGCCGGUGACAAACCGGAGGAAGGUGGGGAUGACGUCAAAUCAUCAUGCCCCUUAUGACCUGGGCUACACACGUGCUACAAUGGGAAGUACAACGAGUCGCAAAGUCGCGAGGCUAAGCUAAUCUCUUAAAGCUUCUCUCAGUUCGGAUUGUAGGCUGCAACUCGCCUACAUGAAGCCGGAAUCGCUAGUAAUCGCGGAUCAGCACGCCGCGGUGAAUACGUUCCCGGGCCUUGUACACACCGCCCGUCACACCACGAGAGUUUGUAACACCCGAAGUCGGUGAGGUAACCUUU
rnacentral:rRNA from 1 species